CGGUCAUCAGCUGACAUUUGUCUUUCCUCUUCAUACUCGUUUUCUGGAAAGUCAUUAAUAUAUUGUCUUUCAUUAAGCUUCUCAAGGUGAACAAUUGAGGUCCUGUUCACUACUGCCACAGGGGUUUCAUCAUCCGGAUCUGUGGAAGCAUUAGGUGGACCAUUAACGACCCAUCCUGACAGUGUUUUCACUGCAUAUGGGCCGUUUCCUUGGAUAAGGCCAUUUCUUGAGGUCCGCCUGGAAGGACUUCAGUUCUCCGUCCUCUAGCACCAAGCUGCCUCAUGAGCCCCUCUGUGCAAAAUGUGUC